rnacentral:rRNA from 1 species
CCUANGGGGGGCAGCAGCAAGGGAUAUUGCGCAAUGGACGAAAGUCUGACGCAGCGACGCCGCGUGAGGGAUGAAGGCCUUCGGGUCGUAAACCUCUUUUAUUGGUGAAGAGUAAGGACGGUAACCAAUGAAUAAGCGUCGGCUAACUACGUGCCAGCAGCCGCGGUAAUACGUAGGACGCGAGCGUUAUCCGGAUUUACUGGGCGUAAAGAGCGCGUAGGCGGCUUCUUAAGUUGGCAGUGAAAGAUUCCGGCUUAACUGGGAUAUGCCUGUCAAUACUGGGAGGCUUGAGGGCACCAGAGGAAAGUGGAACUCGCGGUGUAGCGGUGAAAUGUGUAGAUAUCGCGAGGAACACCAGUGGCGAAGGCGGCUUUCUGGGGUGUUCCUGACGCUGAGGCGCGAAAGCGUGGGGAGCGAAGCGGAUUAGAUACCCCGNUANUC